AGAGUUUGAUCCUGGCUCAGGAUGAACGCUGGCGGCGUGCCUAACACAUGCAAGUCGAACGGGUGUGGUAUCAGGGAAAAGGGGUUUACUUCUUUGACCAGAUAACACACUAGUGGCGGACGGGUGAGUAACGCGUGGAUAACCUGCCUUAUACAGGGGGAUAACAGGGAGAAAUUCUUGCUAAUACCCCAUAGGUAUGUCUGACGCAUGUUGGACAUAUUAAAGCUUUGGCGGUAUAAGAUGGGUCCGCGUCUGAUUAGCUAGUUGGUGGGGUAAAGGCCCACCAAGGCGACGAUCAGUAGCCGGCUUGAGAGAGUGGACGGCCACAUUGGGACUGAGACACGGCCCAAACUCCUACGGGAGGCAGCAGUGGGGAAUAUUGCGCAAUGGGGGGAACCCUGACGCAGCAACGCCGCGUGAGCGAAGAAGGCCUUCGGGUCGUAAAGCUCUGUCAUAGGGGAAGAGGAGAAGACGGUACCCUAUGAGGAAGCCCCGGCUAACUACGUGCCAGCAGCCGCGGUAAUACGUAGGGGGCGAGCGUUGUCCGGAAUUACUGGGCGUAAAGGGUGCGUAGGCGGCCUGAUAAGUCAGAUGUGAAAUACCAGGGCUCAACCCUGGGGGUGCAUUUGAAACUGUCGGGCUUGAGUGCAGGAGAGGAAAGCGGAAUUCCUGGUGUAGCGGUGAAAUGCGUAGAUAUCAGGAGGAACACCAGUGGCGAAGGCGGCUUUCUGGACUGUAACUGACGCUGAGGCACGAAAGCGUGGGGAGCGAACAGGAUUAGAUACCCUGGUAGUCCACGCCGUAAACGAUGGAUACUAGGUGUAGGGGGCGAUUAUGUCUUCUGUGCCGUAGUUAGCGCAAUAAGUAUCCCGCCUGGGGAGUACGGCCGCAAGGUUGAAACUCAAAUGAAUUGACGG
rnacentral:rRNA from 1 species